UACGGGGGGGGGCAAGCGUUGUUCGGAAUUACUGGGCGUAAAGGGCUCGUAGGCGGCCAACUAAGUCAGACGUGAAAUCCCUCGGCUUAACCGGGGAACGGCCUCUGAUACUGGCUGGCUGGAGUUCGGGAGAGGGAUGCGGAAUUCCAGGUGUAGCGGUGAAAUGCGUAGAUAUCUGGAGGAACACCGGUGGCGAAAGCGGCGCGCUGGACCUCUUCUGACGCUGAGGCGCGAAAGCUAGGGGAGCAAACGGGGAUU
rnacentral:rRNA from 1 species